GAUUGAACGCUGGCGGCAGGCCUAACACAUGCAAGUCGAGCGGAUGAAGGGAGCUUGCUCCUGGAUUCAGCGGCGGACGGGUGAGUAAUGCCUAGGAAUCUGCCUGGUAGUGGGGGAUAACGUCCGGAAACGGGCGCUAAUACCGCAUACGUCCUGAGGGAGAAAGUGGGGGAUCUUCGGACCUCACGCUAUCAGAUGAGCCUAGGUCGGAUUAGCUAGUUGGUGGGGUAAAGGCCUACCAAGGCGACGAUCCGUAACUGGUCUGAGAGGAUGAUCAGUCACACUGGAACUGAGACACGGUCCAGACUCCUACGGGAGGCAGCAGUGGGGAAUAUUGGACAAUGGGCGAAAGCCUGAUCCAGCCAUGCCGCGUGUGUGAAGAAGGUCUUCGGAUUGUAAAGCACUUUAAGUUGGAAGGAAGGGCAGUAAGUUAAUACCUUGCUGUUUUGACGUUACCAACAGAAUAAGCACCGGCUAACUUCGUG
rnacentral:rRNA from 1 species